GAGUUUGAUCCUGGCUCAGAUUGAACGCUGGCGGCAUGCCUUACACAUGCAAGUCGAACGGCAGCACGGGAGCUUGCUCCUGGUGGCGAGCGGCGAACGGGUGAGUAAUGCAUCGGAACGUAUCCUGGAGUGGGGGAUAACGUAGCGAAAGUUACGCUAAUACCGCAUAUUCUGUGAGCAGGAAAGCGGGGGACCUUCGGGCCUCGCGCUCUUGGAGCGGCCGAUGUCGGAUUAGCUAGUUGGUGAGGUAAAGGCUCACCAAGGCGACGAUCCGUAGCAGGUCUGAGAGGAUGAUCUGCCACACUGGAACUGAGACACGGUCCAGACUCCUACGGGAGGCAGCAGUGGGGAAUUUUGGACAAUGGGGGCAACCCUGAUCCAGCCAUGCCGCGUGAGUGAAGAAGGCCUGGUUGUAAGUAC
rnacentral:rRNA from 1 species